AACGAACGCUGGCGGCAUGCCUAACACAUGCAAGUCGAACGAGACCUUCGGGUCUAGUGGCGCACGGGUGCGUAACGCGUGGGAACCUGCCCUUAGGUUCGGAAUAACUCCCCGAAAGGGGUGCUAAUACCGGAUAAUGUCUUCGGACCAAAGAUUUAUCGCCUUUGGAUGGGCCCGCGUUGGAUUAGCUAGUUGGUAGGGUAAAAGCCUACCAAGGCGACGAUCCAUAGCUGGUCUGAGAGGAUGAUCAGCCACACUGGGACUGAGACACGGCCCAGACUCCUACGGGAGGGAGGAGUGGGGAAUAGUGGACAAUGGGCGAAAGCCUGGUCCAGCAAUGCCGCGGGAGUGAUGAAGGCCUUAGGGUUGUAAAGCUCUUUUACCCGGGAUGAUAAUGACAGUACCGGGAGAAUAAGCUCCGGCUAACUCCGUG
rnacentral:rRNA from 1 species